rnacentral:rRNA from 1 species
UUGGAGGGCAAGUCUGGUGCCAGCAGCCGCGGUAAUUCCAGCUCCAAUAGCGUAUAUUAAAGUUGUUGCAGUUAAAAAGCUCGUAGUUGAAUUUCGGGGUUAGUAGGUUGGUCAUGCCUCUGGUAUGUACUGGUCUCACUGAUUCCUCCUUCCUUAUGAACCGUAAUGCCAUUAAUUUGGUGUUGCGGGAAAUUUGGACUGUUACUUUGAAAAAAUUAGAGUGUUUAAAGCAAGCUAACGCUUGAAUACAUUAGCAUGGAACAAUGAAAUAGGACGUUCGAUCUUAUUUUGUUGGUUUCUAGGAUUGACGUAAUGAUUAAUAGGGAUAGUUGGGGGCAUUAGUAUUCAAUUGUCAGAGGUGAAAUUCUUGGAUUUAUUGAAGACUAACUACUGCGAAAGCAUUUGCCAAGGAUGUUUCCAUUAAUCAAGAACGAAGGUUAGGGGAUCGAAGACGAUCAGAUACCGUCGUAGUCUUAACCAUAAACUAUGCCGACUAGGGAUCGGAUGAUGUUAAUUUUUUAAUGACUCAUUCGGCGCCUUACGGGAAAC